rnacentral:rRNA from 1 species
GAUUGGAUGCGGGGGCUUCACCGCCUACCAAAUCCUGACAAACUCCGAAUGCCAGUAGUAUGAUUUACAGCAGUGAGUGACUGGGUGCUAAUGUCCAGUCGCAAAAGAGGAACAACUCAGACCAGCAACUAAGGUCCCGAAGAAUAUGCUAAGUUGAUCUAACGAUGUUUUGUUGCAGAGACAGCUAGGAUGUUAGCUUGGAAGCAGCUAUUCAUUCAAAGAGUGCGUAACAGCUCACUAGUCGAGCGACAGAGCGUGGAUAAUAAACGGGCAUCAAGCAUAUCACCGAAGUUCUGGGCGCGAGAGCGCGGUAGGGGAGCAUUCCAUUCAGCGUCGAAGCAGUUUCGUGAGGAAUUGUGGAGCGUAUGGAAAAGCAAAUGUAGGCAUGAGUAACGAUAAUGCGGGAGAGUAACCCGCACACCGCAAGACCAAGGUUUCCUGAUCAACGCUAAUCGGAUCAGGGUUAGUCGGGUCCUAAGGGUAAGCCGAACGGCGAUCUCGAUGGAUAAUCGGUUAAUAUUCCGAUACUAACAUAUACCUCGAUGGAGAGACGAAGGAACGUAAGUGCCGCCACCUGACGGAAUAGGUGGUUAAAGGGCGUAGGUAUAGGGGCAGAUUAAGAGUUAGUCCUUGCUGAAACCUGACAGUACAGAGAGCCUACGGGCAAUUUGAUAGAGCACCCAAGUCGACUUCCGAGAAAAUCUUCUAAGUUAUAGUAUAUGUUACCCGUACCGUAAACCGACACAGGUGGUCGAGGAGAGUAUCCUAAGGUGCUCGAGUGAAUCACGGUUAAGGAACUAGGCAAAUUAACCCCGUAACUUCGGGAAAAGGGGUCCCUAUGAAAGUAGGGCGCAGCGAAGAGGUCCAGGCGACUGUUUAUCAAAAACACAGGGCUCUGCAAAUUCGAAAGAAGACGUAUAGGGCCUGACACCUGCCCGGUGCUGGAAGGUUAAGAGGGGAUGUCAUCGCAAGAGAAGCAUUGAAUCGAAGCCCCAGUAAACGGCGGCCGUAACUAUAACGGUCCUAAGGUAGCGAAAUUCCUUGUCGGGUAAGUUCCGACCUGCACGAAUGGUGUAACGAUCUGGACACUGUCUCAACCGUGAGCUCGGUGAAAUUGUAGUCCCGGUGAUGAUGCCGGGUACCCGCAACGGGACGAAAAGACCCCGUGAACCUUUACUAUAGCUUAACGCUGAAUUUGGGUACACAAUGUGUAGGAUAGGCCGGAGGCUUUGAAGCGGGCACGCCAGUGUUCGUGGAGCCGACGUUGAAAUACGGCCCUUUGUGUAUUUGAGUUCUAACCCUGCGAAGGGGACACCGUUUGGUGGGUAGUUUGACUGGGGUGGUCGCCUCCAAAAGCGUAACGGAGGCUUCCCAAGGUACCCUCAGCACGAAUGGUAACCGUGCGCGGAGUGCAAUAGCAUAAGGGUGCUUGACUGUGAGACAUACAAGUCGACCAGGUACGAAAGUAGGGUAUAGUGAUCCGGUGGUUCUGCGUGGACUGGCCAUCGCUCAAAGGAUAAAAGGUACUCCGGGGAUAACAGGCUGAUCGCCGCCAAGAGCUCAUAUCGACGCGGCGGUUUGGCACCUCGAUGUCGGCUCGUCACAUCCUGGGGCUGGAGAAGGUCCCAAGGGUUCGGCUGUUCGCCGAUUAAAGUGGCACGCGAGCUGGGUUCAGAACGUCGUGAGACAGUUCGGUCUCUAUCUGUUGCGGGCGUAGGAAGAUUGAGGGGUCCUGACUUUAGUACGAGAGGACCGAGUUGGACGAACCUCCGGUGUAUCGGUUAUGCUGCCAAGUGUACUGCCGAGUAGCCGCGUUCGGUCUGGAUAAGCGCUGAAAGCAUCUAAGCGCGAAGCCAUCCCCAAGAUAAGUCUUCCCUUGAGGGGCGUAGGAGACUACUACGUUGAUAGGCUGCAGGUGUAAAGACAGCAAUGUCAAAGCCGAGCAGUACUAAUUACCCGAUAGGCUUUCUUUU